rnacentral:lncRNA from 1 species
GGACUAUGACAAUAGUAAAUUUGGUGACAUCAUGACUAGAGAUUUGAUUAGCAUCGAGAGUGAAAUUAUAAAACUAGCAUAAAGAGCUAGUUAGAGUAAAGUGUGGCAUUGUCAUGCAUUGGACCCUCUAAAGGAGGAUCAGAUCAUACUCACAAUAGUCUUAUGCUCAAGGAAGGUCGCUCCUCCUUGAGCGAUGAGCUUCGGAGUAGUCAUCUCAACUGGAUCAGGAGCUAGCGUCUCCCCCAGUAGACGGUCCUGUCAGGAGCUUGCGUCUCUCCGAUAGUAGGGAUUUCG